UUUGUCAUAGGAUUACACACG
rnacentral:miRNA from 1 species